rnacentral:lncRNA from 9 species
UUUUUUUUUUUUUUUUUUUUUUUUUUUUUUUUGAGGGCCACACCUGCGGCAUAUGUAAGUUCCUAGGCUAGGAGUUGAAUUGGAGCUGCAGCUGUCAGUCUCUACCACAGCCACAGCAACGCCAGAUCCAAGCUGUGUCUGCAAUCUACACCACAGCUCAUGGCAAAAUAUUUGCAAUCCGUUUAACUAGUAAAUAAUGCUGGAUCCUUAACCCACUGAGUGGGGCCAGGGAUCGAACCCGCAUCCUUGUGGAUACUAGUGCUGUUCAUAACCUGCUGAACCACAAGAACUCCCUCUCCUCCAUUUCUAAACUACUGUGAUACAAAAUUCAACAACUAUUCCAGGAAUAAAUAAUGCCAAUGCACAAAUGCUUCCAGAGAAGAGAGUAGAAGGGAGCCCGUCUCAGCACACAACUCAUUUAAUGAAGCCCUGAUAGAAAAACCAGGCAGGGGCAGAUUAAGAAAGGAAAAUCAAGAGUUGCCAUUGUGGUGCAAUAGAAAUGAAUCUGACUAAUGUCCAUGGGUAUGCAUUUUCAACCCCUGGCCUUGAUCAGUGGGUUGGGGAUCUGGAGCUGCCAUGAGCAGACAGCUUGGAUCCUGCAUUGCUGUGGCAGUGCUAUAGGCUAGCAGCUGUAGUUCUGAUUUGACCCCUAGCCUGUUCACAUGACUCAGGUGUGGCCCUAAAAAGAGGGGGGGGUUGGAAAAAUCACAGCCAAUUCUACACCUAAACAUAGAAGAAUUCCAAACAAACAGAAGCAAUCUGAAUCCAGCAAUACAUUAAAAAAAAUACACCAGAUCCAAGUGAAGUUUACCUGAGGAGUACAAGGUUGGUUUAAUACUAGAAAGAUCACCAUAUGUAAAAACUGAAGUAGCAUAAAAGCACAUGGUCAUUUGAAAGGAAAUAGAAAAAAGAAAAACAUUAGAAAUCUUAUAAAGAAAUUACAAAGAAUGUAGCCAAUGUGCUUAUUGAUGAACCUUAAAAGCAAUUUCUUUGAGAGCUUUUGAAGGUAAUCAUUUAAACUAGCAUUUCACAAAUAUAAAAUAUCUAGGAAUGAAUUUAUUAAGACAUGUGCCAGACCUCACGAUAUUAAUCUUUGAAGCCAGUGCCAUCCCAGCUACAAUCCUGAACUAGGAAUCUGAGGAAAGGCAAAAAGAACUAAGAUAUUUGAGAGAGAGAAAAAGAAAGAGAGGAAAACAAGGGAGGGAAUUUAACAGCUUCAGCAGAACUACCACAAUGUUACAGUAAAUUAAACAAUGUGCUGGCAUAGAGGUAAACAAACAGGCUGAAGAGACAGACUUCAUAGACCAGAAACAAACCCAUGGGUUCAGGGAAAUGGAUGAUGGGAGCAGCCCUACAGAUCAGUGGGAAAUAAAGAGACUAUUCAUUCAAUAAAUUGUGCUCCAAAAACUAUCCAUUUGGAAAAAAAUAAAACUGGACUACUUCACACAAAACAUAAAGAUGAGGUAAAAACUCAAAUGUGAAAAAUUAGAAUCUUUUAGAAAAUAUUUUCAUGAACUCAGAGACAGGAAGGAGUUUUUAAAACUAGAUACAAAGAGUACAGUCCAUAAGGCAAAAGAGUGGUAGAAUUGGCCAUUAUUAAUGUUAAAACUUCUCUAUAGGAGUUCCCAUCAUGGCUCAUGGUUAACAAAACUGACUAGCAAUCAUGAGGAUGCAGGUUUGAUCCCUGGCCUUGAUAAGUGGGUUAAGGAUCCCGAGUUGCCAUGAGCUGUGGUGUAGGCAGGUGGCUGCAGCUCCGAUUUGACCCCAGCCUGGGAACCUCCAUAUGCCACAGGUGCGGCCUAAAAAGACAGAAGACAAAAAAAAAAAAAAAAAAAAAAAAAAAAAAAACUUCUAUAUAGACUGGAAUAAAAUAUUUGCAAUCCGUUUAACUAGUAAAUAACUUAUAAACUUAAACAUUAAAGAACUCUUGGAGUUCCCUGGUGGCCUAGUAGUUAAGGAUCUGGCAUUGCCACUGCUGUGUGGCUUGGGUUAUUGCUGUGGCAUGGGUUUGAUUCCCAGACCAGGAAAUUCCACAUGCCAAAAAAAUUAAAACAUUUUUCAGGCACAGCCAAAAAAAUUAAAAUUUCAGUUCAGCAAAACACACCCUAAACAAGUUCCCAUUGUGGCUGAGUAGGUUAAGAAUCCGACUAGUAUCUAUGAAGAUGCAGGUUUAAUCCCUGGUCUCCUCAGCGGGUUAAGGACCUGGCAUUGCAGUGGCGUAGGCCCACAGCUACAGCUCCAAUUCAAUGAUUUGACCCCUAGCCUGGGAACUUCCAUAUGCCUGAGGUGCAGCCCGUAAAAUAACAACAACAAUAACAAAAAAAAACACUGUAAAGAAACUGGGCGGGGGCGGGGGGGGGGCAGGAUUGGUGACAUGUUCGGAGCGCUGGAACUCAGGUUUGAUCCCCAGCCCCAGCAUUCCUGCAGCUGUGGCUUAGGUGGAAACUACAGCUCAGAUCUGAACCCUAGCCCAGGAACUCCAUAUACCAAGGGGUGGCCAAAAAAAAUAAAUAAAGGGGAUUUAUUAAAAAAAAAGAAUGGGGUCAGGGCUGGAGCCUCAAACUGAGAGAAGAUAUUAGCAAGACAUAACAAGCAAAGCAUGCCUAUCUCAAAGAAAGCAAUCUAAUAGAAAAAUGGUGGAGUUCCCAUAGUGGCUCAGUGGAAACAAAUUCAACUAGUAGCAAUGAGGAUGAGGGUUCAAUCCCUGGCCUCGCUCAGUGGGUCAGGGAUCUGGCGUUGCCAUGAGCUGUGGUGUAGGUCACAUACAAGGCUCAGACCCCAAGUUGCUGUGGCUGUGGUGUAGUCCGGCAGCUAUAGCUUCAAUUCGACCCCUAGUCUGGGAACUUCCAUGUGCCUUGGGUAUAGCCCUAAAAAGCAAAAAAGAAAAAUGGGCAAAGGGGGAGCCCAGAGCAAGCUGCCCCUGUCUCCCAGCCAAGACUCCACAGCUCUGGCCAAGACAGUGGGGGCGGAGGUGGAAGUCUUCUGAUCCCGUCUAUUAUUUGUGCCUUGACAACCACCCUGCGGAGGUGAGGGGCAUGUCCUUCACUGUCCUUUUAUGAAACCCGAGAAAGCAUGAGUCUUAGACACAGAAAGACCAUUUGCCAGGGAAUCUGGGGACAGCACACACUCUGCUCUCUUCUCUCAGUGCCUGUCAUCUGGGACAGAACAGAUGACAGUCACAGACGGUCCCAUCGGCCGCCCACAGGGAAAAGUCAGGACUUGGUGAUGCCAGGAGGUUCCAGAUUCCAAAGAGAUGGUUAGCCUGUGUGUCCCCUGCAAACAGAGCCUCUUCAAGUUCCCCGACUCCAUCCUGGCACCUCUCCAUCCUCAAAACCAUUGCUGGAGAUGUCUGAGCAGGUGUCCCCUCUUCAAGGCUCUUCACCAGGGUCUCCCAUAGUGCCAUACCUGCCCCCCUCCACCCCGGCUCUGGCUCCUUCCCAGCUUCCACGCCUCCAUGUGGCCAACCCUGGUGGCAUGUGUCCUUGAAUGUGCAGCUCCAGCUCUCCCCGCCUUUGCCCAUGCAUGCAUGCCGCCUUCAGAAUGUCCUCUCUUCCCUAAGGAUGAGUUCUCCUCUGAAAACCAACUCAGAUGCCACCUGUUCCUCGAAGCCCUCUAGUUAUCCCCAGAGUAAAUGGCUCCCUUCUCUGGGCCACACCAGGGCCUUACACCCCCUCCUCUCAGUUACACAUAACUGGUCUCAGUCUCUCCCAUCUGCCUGACCGUAUCUGCCUGAGACCAGGAUCCGUUCUUAUCCUCUCUGAUACCUGGCAUGUGCACAGGUAUGCGUCAAAAGUCUAAUUUGAGUCUGCAGAUGUUACUUAAAUCAGUGGCUACAGACUGUGUUAAUUUAUUUUUUUAGCUUUAUAGCUGUUUAUCUAUUGUUUCUUUACUGUCUCCAAAUCUCAAAUCCCUCUCAAGCACUGUCUCUGGUCCUACUUCAAUUAUAUGUAUCAUGAAGCCAACCUCGAGAGUUUAUAUGCAUAUGAAUGUAAACAGAAAAUGGAAGUGGUUUUGUUAUGUUUUGUUUCUUUUCACAGCUGCACCAGAGGCACAUGGAAGUUCCCAGGCUAUGGAUAGAAUUGGAGCUGCAAGUGCAGGCCUAUGCCACAGCCACAGAAAUGCCAAAUCCGAGCUGCAUCUGUGACCCAUGCUGCAGCUUGCGGCAACACUGGAUCUUUAACCCACUGAGCAAGGCCACAGAUGGAACUUGUAUCCUCAAGGACACUGUGUUGGGUUCUUAACCCACUGAGCCACAAUAGGAACUCUAAAGACGGAGGCAUUUUGUAAUUGAACAUAAUGGGCAACCAUAGAGGGUUGAAGUUCAUAAAUGUUUUUCAGGGUACAUUUUUGUUUUGUCUUUAAAAUACUGAUAUCCUAACAUUCAUUUGAAUGGAGAAAAUUCGAUUAGCCUCCGGUUUUUUUGGUUUUUUUUUUGUCUUUUUGGGGCUGCACCCAAGGCAUAUGUAGGUUCCCAGGCUAGGGGUCUAAUCGGAGCUGUAGUCACCAGCCUACACCAGAGCCACAGCAACGCCAGAUCUGAGCUGUGUCUGUGAUCUACACCACAGCUCAUGGCAAUGCCAGAUCCUUAGCUCACUGAGCGAGGCCAGGGAUUGAACCCGCAACCUCAUGGUUCCUAAUCGGAUUUGUUUCUGUUAUGCCAUGACUGGAACUCCUAGCCUCUGUAUUAAUUACGGUUUCAAUCUGGGAACAUCUGCAGGUUUUUCUAAACUUGUUUAAAGAAUCAUUAAAAGAUAAAUGUGCACACACAUAUUUAAGAAGCAAACAUGCACAUUAAAAAAAAUUAUCUUUCUAGGCUCUUAGAGUUACUUUCAGGAGGGAACAGCAAGCUCAGUGCCUAGGGUUUAAAGCAUAAAUGGUAAAAAACCUUCUCUCUCAGAACUGCCAAUUCAAAUCUACAUUCAGUAGAAUUUUUGUUCUAUUGCCUGUUUUUAAGAAAUUCAGGACAAUCCCCAGAAAGAUCAAUAUCCAAAUAUGUGAAAGCAUGUCAUUUACAGAAGCAUGCUAAGAAGUUAGAGUAAGUCUUGGAGUCCCCAUCAUGGCGCAGUGGUUAAUGAAUCUGACUAGGAACCAUGAGGUCGCGGGUUCGGUCCCUGCCCUUGCUCAGUGGGUUAAGGAUCCGGCAUUGCCAUGAGCUGUGGUGUAGGUUGCAGACACAGCUCCGAUCCCACAUUGCUGUGGCUCUGGCGUAGGCUGGUGGCUACAGCUCUGAUUAGACCCCUAGCCUGGGAACCUCCAUGUGCCACGGGAGCGACCCAAGAAAUAGCAAAAAGACAAAAAAAAAAAAAAAAAAGUAAGUCUUACAAAUAACAUCUCAUCCUCUAUUCUGCAUUCCUGAGACCACUUUCUCUGAUCUGAAAACAGGCAUUCUUUCAUAAAGAGGAGACUUCGAUAGCAUAUGACCCCACCAAAAAUAUGUGUGCAUGUGUGUUUUUAGAGGAGAGGGAAAGAUUCUAAAAUCCUUAGAAACAUUAAUUUGGGGUGGGAGUGGAAGUAGAUUAAACAAUAUCACAUGAUUGUCCUGUCAUUUAAAUGCAAAGCAGAGAUAAACGCUAAUAAAGAAAGUCAGUGACCUUCUAGAUUAUGCUGUGGGAAAAUUCAAGGCAUUCUGAAAUUCACAUUUGUCUUCCUCUGGCAUUGCUUGGCCUAUGUCACAAACCAAAGCAACUACUCCAGUUUAAAAAGACCAGAAAUUAACUGUACGCUUCUAAUCUCCAAAUUUCAAAUUUUAUCCAGAAAAGUAUUGUACUUCCUUCUUUCGUCUUAAACUUUCAGUAGCUAUGGGAGCAGAAACUGAAAACAAAGGCCCUAGAAUCUCUGAAGGAACAACUGUAAUUCAACAAUGAGAAAUCCUUUCGUUCCUUCUGCUUCUAUUCUCCCAAUCUAAUUUUUUCUCUCUCUCACACACAGACACACACAAAAGGACAGUAUCAAGGAAGGAAUCACAAACUUUAACAAAAUACCAAGGAAAAAAUGACAAACGAGAAAAUAUCUUGCUGGCAAGAACUUAGAUAAUGUUUAAGAAGGUAAUUGAAGUCUAAAAAAAGAAUCAUGAGAGUUCCCGUCAUGGCACGGUGGAAAAGAAUCCAACUAGUAUCCCUGAUGAUACAGGUUCAAUCCCUGGCUUCGCUCAGUGGGUUAAGGAUCCGGUAUUGCUGUGCUGUAGGUCACAGACUUGGCUCGUUUGUAUCCUGCAUUGCUGUGGCUGUGGUGUAGGCUGGCAGCUGUAGUUCUGAUUCGAACCUUAGCCUGGAAACUUCCAUAUGCCAUGGGUGCAGCCCUAAAAAGCAAAAAAAAAAAAAAAAAAGGAAAAUUAAAAAAUUUUUAAAAAUCAGCUUUUCCUAUUAUUUAUAUGAUAAUCUUGAAUGCCCGAAAUGGGCUUGAAAAUCAAAAGAAAAAGACAAACAGGGAAGCAAUCAAGAACUGAAGGAAGAUAAUGCAAGUGACAAAAAAAUUGGGAUUUUUUUUUCCUUUUCCUUUUUAUUUAUUUAUUUAUUUUGUCUUUUGUCUUUUUAGAGCGGCACCUGCGGCAUAUGGAGGUUCCCAGGCUAAGGGUGUAAUCGGAGCUACAGCUGCUGGCCUAUACCAGAGCCACAGCAACACCAGAUUCGAGCCGUGUCUGCGACCUAUACCACAGCUCAUGGCAACGCCAGAUCUUUAACCCACUGAGCAAGGCCAGGGAUCGAACCCACAACCUCAUGGCUCCUAGUCUUGCUCAAUGGAUUAAGGAUCCAGUGUUGCCAUGAGCUGUGGUGUAGGUCGCAGACACGGCUCAGAUCUGGUGUUGCUAUGGCUGUGGCAUAGGCUGGCAGCUACAGCUAUAAUUAGACCCCUAGUUUGGGAAUCUCUGUAUGCCGCAGGUACGGCCCUAAAAGACAAAAGACAGAAAAAAACAACAACAACAAAAAAUAAGUGUUGGUGAGGAUGUGGUGAAAAGGAAGCCCUCAUGCGCCAUAGACAGGAAUGUAAAUGGAUGCAGCCACUAUGGAAAACAAUAUGGAGGUUCCUCAAAAAUAUUAAAAAUACAACCACCAUAUGAUCCAACAAUUCUACUUCUUGGUAUUUACUGGAAGACAACAAAAACACUAACUUGAAAAGGUAUCUGCACCUCCAUGUCCAUUGCAGUGUUUAGUUACAGUAUCUAAGAUGUGGAAUCAUCCUAAGUAUCCAUGAUAGAUGAAUGGAUAAAGAAAAUUACACACACACACACACACACACACACACACACAGAGGAAUAUUAUUCAAUCAUAAAAAAAGAAGGAAAUCCUGCCAUUUGCAACAACAUAAAUGGGCAUCCUCUUAAGUAUAAUAAGUCAGAGAAAGUCAAAUAGCAUACGAUCUCACUUAUAUGUGAAAUCUAAAACCAAACCAAACAAACACCAAACUCUGAUGCAGAGAACAUGCUGGUCGUUGUUAGAGGCAGAAGUUGGAGAUGGUGAAAUGGAUGAAAAGAGUCAAAAUGUACAAACUUCCAGUUAGGGAUAAAAGGUCCUGGGAAUGUAAUGGUGACCAUAGUUAAUAAUACUGUAUUGCGGAGUUUCCAUUGUGGCUCAGAGGAAAUGUGUCUGACUAGCAUCCAUGAGGAUGCAGGUUCAAUCCCUGGCCUCAAUCAGUGGGUUAAGGAUCCGGCAUUGCUGUGAGCUGUGGUGUAGGUUGCAGACUUGGCUCAGAACCCUCGUUGCUGUGGCUGUGGUGUAGGCGGGCAGCUGUAGCUCCGAUCCUACCCCUAGCCUGGGAACCUCCAUAUGCUUUGGGUGCAGCCCUAAAAGGACAAAAAGAAAUCAUAAUAAUAACGUAUCAUAUACAGUUGACCCUUGAACAACAUGGGUUUGAAUCAGGAGAGUCCACUUCACUUGGAUUUCUUUCCAACAAAUACAUGAUCCACACUUGGUUGAAUGCACGGAUGUGGAACCUCAGAUACCCGGCCGGGGGAGGUGGGGGCUGGGGUGCUAUAAAGUUCCAUGCAGAUUCUGAAUAGCUCAGAAGGUUGGCAUCCCUAAUCCCUUGAGUUGUUCAACAUCAACUGUCUUUUCCUCUUUGAGGAGAAAGCAUUUGGUCUUUCAUCAUUCAGUAUGAUUUUAGCUAUGGUUUUUUUCCAGAUGCUCUUUAUCAGGUUGAGGAUGCUUCCUUCUAUUUUGGGUAUGUAGGAUUUUUUUUUAAAUCAAAAGAAGUGUUUGGGAGCUCCCUGGUGGCCAAGUGGUUAAGGAUCUGGUAUUGUCACUGCUGUGGCUCAGGUGUGAUCCCUGGCCUGGGAACUUCUGCAUGUUGUGGGUGAGGCCAAAAAAAUAAACAUAUAAAACAUAAGCACACACACAGAAAGUGUUGGGUUUUGUUAGUUUUUUUUUUUUCUAAAUUUGAGACGAUCAAAUGAUUAUAUUGCACAUCUGAAACUAAUGUUAUAGAUAAAUUAUACCUCAGUAAUAAAGAGAUCCAAUCCACUAAAACCUCAAUGCAUGCAUUUUCAAUUUUCAAAAAGCUAUAACAGGAGUUCCUUCGUGGCUCAGCAGUUAACAAACCCAAUUAGGAUCCAUGAGGAUGGGGUUUGAGCCCUGGCUUCACUCGGUGGGUUAAGAAUCUGGCAUUGCCAUGAGCUGUGUAGGUCGAAGACUCGGUUCAGAUCCUGUAUUGCUGUGGCCGUGGUGUAGGUUGGCAGCUGUAGGUCUGAUUCGACCCCUAGCCUGGGAGCUUCCAUAAGCUGCAAGCGCAGCCCUAAAAAUCUAUAAAAAAAAAAAAAAAAAAAAAAAAAAAAA